UACGUAGGGUGCAAGCGUUGUCCGGAAUCAUUGGGCGUAAAGAGCGUGUAGGCGGCCCGGUAAGUCCGCUGUGAAAGUCGGGGGCUCAACCCUCGAAUGCCGGUGGAUACUGUCGGGCUAGAGUGCGGAAGAGGCGAGUGGAAUUCCUGGUGUAGCGGUGAAAUGCGCAGAUAUCAGGAGGAACACCAAUUGCGAAGGCAGCUCGCUGGGACGUAACUGACGCUGGAGACGCGAAAGCGUGGGGAGCAAACAGG
rnacentral:rRNA from 1 species